CUCUCUCUCUCUCUCCCUCUUCCCUGUCUCUCUUUAAAUUUCAGUCUCUCUCUCUUCCUCUUUUACUCCAUUUCUUUUCGCCCUCGCUCUUUGUGAAUUUCAUGCAGUUAACUGAAUUAGUCUAAAAUAAUCUCUAAGUUGAAGUUGUAGUCUUUAUAUGCAUAGGAGUUGGUAACUAGCAUAUAAUAACUAUGACAACCGAUUGGCACAUUGUCUUCUGGAAUGUUUUUGACUUAUCAGUUGAAAGAUACAAGCUAAUGAUUUUGUUCGCUUGGUUCCUGGUCUGUGACACUAAACCGUAUUUUUUUCCCUUGAAUAUUCUCUCCUUUGAAAUUUAUAUCAAAGGGACAUGAAUUCAUCAAAACUUCUACCCACUUGUCUCUUUUAGGUUUUGAAAGAUACCUUGUCCUCGACUUUUAGGACUGAUAUUGGAAUAAGGAGAAUGGGAGAAAUUGAUGAAAA
rnacentral:misc_RNA from 1 species